CAAAUUUGGCGGACUCGACGACACAGUUCUCAGAAGUCUGAAUCACUUCAAAACAAGCGAUGAAGAUGAUCACCGUUGUACGGACGGUACCGACGAAGCUUGAAAGUUGAAAGGCUGCUUACAUAGCUCAUAGGAUUGAAGAGGCUACAGCUUCAGAGGUAAAGAAAGCUCGAGCUUAGCUGAACAUCCAACUUUCUUUUUGAUUUCGCAAACACUUCGUUCUCUUCUGUUUUGGUCGGAGUAACACUGAAUUUCGAAUUCUCUGUCCGCUUGAUGUUUUAGCUGCAAUUUUGAAUGUUUGUGAUUUUCAUCUCAUUCCCCUGCGAUCGAUAAGGUUUCUGAGAAAUGUCUUCUCAAAAUUGGUGCUAAUUGCUGGUAACUGAAUUAGCUCAUAAUUUUUCGUCAUGAUUUAGCUGUCUAUUGUCAACCGUAGUUCAUAAGCUAAUUCAGAUUUGUUUGAUAACUGUGGGUUUUCCUUUUUCACGCAUUGGUAUCUAGUUGCUGCAAGGUGCAUGAUGAUCGUAUGCGACUGCUCCAAGUUGAUGUGGUUUUUUAAAAUUGGGAGUCCAAUGUGAUCCCGAGCUUCUUCAAGUUAUCGGAAUAUUUUAUAGAUAUUGGUUGCUUCCCACGGUUCCUUAUAUGGCUAUUCAUAUUUGUACAAACUUGUUUCAUGGUAUCAAAAUCCGGAGGCUGCUUAUUAUGAUAGCCAUCAUAAUUUCAAUUCUCAUUGUUUCCCAGUGCUACGUUUAUCCUUAUGCGAAAAAAUCUUUCCUACCACUUGAUGUAAAGAGCUCAGACAUUAUGAGUCUUCAAAAUAUCACUAGUUUAAACCAUUCAGAAGUUCAUUUCCUGUAUACUGUCACUCAUGUGAAAAAUAGGAAGGAAAGAACUGAGUACAUUACUGAAAAGAAGGGAGAAAGAGGAUUUGGUUUGACUUUGGAUGCUGCUAAUAGCAUGCCAUAUGAGAAUGGUACACCAUUUGAAGAGACUUCGGCAAUGCCAGAUGGAAAUUCUACUGUUGAUAAUGACAUUGGGAGUGGGACGGUAGAGUUUGGUUAUAAUCCCCCCAUAAAGGAAAAAAUUUUAGACAACAGUUACAAGAGAGUUGUUGAAGGUGAAGACAGCAGCAAUCUAAAUACGAGUAAAAUGAGAAACCAUAUUUCUUUUGUCUCAAAUCAAUCUCAAGAGUUAAUUGUAGAUCCAAGAAAAUCUGACUUGUCUUCUGCUCAAAACACAUCUUCCAUUCCAGAAGACCGUUUCGGUAGAACUGAGGAAAUAGUUACAAAGGAUACAAGGUCUGAGCAAGCGAAGAAUGUUUUCGAUACCUUGGAUGGACUUGCACGGUAUGACAUAUCGACUUUGAAGAGUCCUGAGAUGCCACCAAUAUCAAUAUCUCAAAUGAACGCAUUGUUGUCUCUAAGUCAUACUUCUCCUUGUUCGAAGAAGCCACAGUGUCGUUUGUCUUCUUCACGUGAUCGUGAACUUCUACAUGCAAGACUGGAGAUUGAGAAAGCCACUGCUGUUGUGAACAGCCCAGGAAUUAUUUCUGUUUUCCGAAAUGUUUCUAUGUUCAAGAGGAGUUAUGACUUGAUGGAAAAAACGCUUAAAGUUUAUAUCUACAAGGAAGGAGAAAAGCCUAUUUUCCAUCAACCUCGGAUGAGAGGGAUAUAUGCCUCAGAAGGAUGGUUUAUGAAAUUGAUGAAAGAGAAUAAAAAAUUUGUUGCAAAGAAUCCCAAGAAGGCUCACUUGUUCUAUUUACCUUUCAGUUCGCAGUUACUAAGGAGUGCACUUUCUGAACAAAAUUCCCAAGGUCGAAAGAACCUAGAGGAACGUCUAGGGAACUAUGUCAACUUAAUUAGGAGAAACCACCAAUUCUGGAACAGAACUGGAGGUGCUGAUCAUUUUCUUGUUGCUUGUCACGACUGGGCCUCCAAACUUACAAGGAAGUAUAUGAAGAACUGCAUCAGAGCUCUCUGCAAUGCAAACGCUGCUAGAGGCUUUCAAAUUGGGAAGGACACUAGCUUACCAGUUACAAAUAUACAUUUGACAAAGGACCCUGAUAUAACUACUGGAGCAAAACCUCCUUCAGACAGGACUACAUUAGCCUUCUUUGCUGGGGGUAUGCACGGUUAUCUCCGACCAAUACUGCUUCAUUACUGGGAAAAUAAAGAACCUGACAUGAAAAUUUUUGGCCCAAUGGCACGCGAUGCUGAAGGGAAAAGAAUCUAUAGGGAGCACAUGAAAAAUAGUAAGUAUUGCAUAUGUGCGAGGGGAUAUGAAGUUCAUACUCCUCGAGUGGUUGAGGCCAUUCUAAACGCAUGUGUUCCAGUUUUCCUAUCAGAUAAUUACGUGCCUCCUUUCUUUGAGGUAUUAAACUGGGAAUCAUUCUCAGUAUUUGUUCAAGAGAAAGAGAUCUCUAAUUUGAGAAAUAUUCUGCUCUCAAUUCCUGAGGAGGACUACCUUGUCAUGCAUGCAAGACUGAAAAUAGUUCAAAAGCAUUUCAUUUGGAACAAAAUUCCGGUGAAGUAUGAUUUAUUUCAUAUGAUCCUUCACUCAGUAUGGUAUACUCGAGUUUUUCAGAUGCAAACCAAUUGAUUUAGGUAGCAUCAGAUUCUGGUGUCAGAAAGCCACAAAUGUCGAAUGAAUAAGAAGACUGUGAAGGGGAAGCAAAAGGAUGUAGUGUAAAUAUGCCGAGCUUCCAUAACAUCGUACGCCCUCCAGAUAGAGAUGAAGCUUAGCUUGAAUCUCUCUAAUCAUAUGGUGGAAUUCUUGAGGGAUAUAUUUGCAAAUGGUUCCAUCUUGUAAAUGAGUUCGAUGACUCAUUAGUUUCAUAUUCCAUACCAAGUUUUGAGUUCCCCUUAGAACAGUUUGUGAAACCAAAUGAUACCGUCACUUAAGGGAACGAGUUAGAAGAUUUUGGUGCAAUGGAUUGGAUUUUGGUGAGUUAGAAGAAUUUAAAAACUUAUCAUUGCGAAAGCCUGAGAAUAUAGAUAUGACUUUCAAUUCUUCAACCGCCAUGCUACCGAUCCCAGCUUCACCUGUUAACACAGUUCAUUCAGAGAACUUGAUAUCAAAUAUAAGCUCAUCAGUCUCAGAAACCGAUUCUAAAAGCACAACUAAACGGAAGAAGAUGAAGAGUGAAAUGCCACCGAAGUCCAUAACUUCACUAGAAGAGAUGAACAGGAUGUUUGUGUUAGUUUUGAAUUGUUCGUUUGAUGAUCUUAUAUUAUGCUGGGUUUUAAUCUUGUUCUUGCUUUGCGUGGAGACCAAUGAGUUCCUCUUUACGUGAUCAGGAAAAUUAUUCUGCCAAGUCCUAUAUGUGCGUAAUUCUCAUAACAGGACAAAUUACGUCAAUUUUUUGAAGGAAUACUCGGAAAAUAUUGCAGCCAAAUAUCCAUACUGGAAUGGAACUGGUGGAGCAGAUCAUUUUCUUGUUGCAUGCCAUGAUUGAGCGCUGCUUAAAAGCACUUUGCAAUACUGAUGUAACGGUUGCCUUCAAAAUUGGAUGAGAUAUGUCUCUUCCAGAAACUUAUGUAGCGAGAAAUCUUCUUAGAGAUAUUGGAGGAAAACCUGCUUCACAAAGACAUGUUCAUGCCUUUUAUGGUGGGAAUAUACAUGGUUAUGUCUUAACCCUGAUAUGAAGAUCUUUGGUCCAAUGCCUCAUGGUAUUGCAAGCAAAAUGAGUUACAUUCAGCAUAUGAAGAGCAGCAAAUACUGCAUCUGCCCAAAGGGUUACGAGCUCAAUAGUCCACGGGUUGUUGACGCAAUCUUUUAUGAGUGUGUACCUGUGAUCAUAUCAGACAAUUUCGUGCCACCAUUUUUUGAGGUGUUGAAUUGGGAAGCAUUUUCAGUGAUUGUUGCAGAAAAGGAUAUUCCCUACUUACAACAACAUACUGCUUUCUUUCAAUACUAAACGACAGAUAUCUCGAGAUGCAACUCCGAGUCAGGAAAGUACAUAAGCGCUACCUUUGGCAUGCCAAGCCCUUGAAGUAUGACAUUACCCUUCAUUCAUUCUGGUAUAACACAGUGUUUCAGAUAAAGAUGUUGUAAGUGCUCCAUUGAAGAUAUGAAGGAAAUCCAUGAAACUCUAAAAUAACUGCACAGAACAAAAUGACUCCUUUGCAGCUUCUCUUUGGAAAAAAAUCUGCUUAAACCUCGGUGGGAUCAUGUCAAGGACCUUGAAAAUGGACUGCAACUGUGGCAGUGUUCUUGUAUAUAGCAGACUGGUAAAACAAAACUAUGAUUAUUUGUCAAUAUUGCAGUAGAAAUCCUGAUUUCCGUUCAGCAACCUCUGCAUCUGGCUGUGAGACUUCAGGUUUCAAAUCAUACUGCCCUCUACCUCGUCGACGUAGGAAGCCAUUUUCCAGGACCACAAUGGAAGUUAUUACUCGUUCUUUGGGUCAUCAUCAACCACAUCCAUCCAAAGCAAUAAAUGUUUUCACUCACUGGGUCCAUCCAGACCAAUUGAAGAGAGACCCACAUUCAAGAACCGUAUCUCUGAGAUCGGAAUCAGAUACUCAGGCAUAUAUGAUCUCUAAUAUGGCACCACAACACGAAGCUUCCUAUGAAGAACAGGGGCAAUGUGGAAUGGGCGAUGAUGUUAAUGAACUUGGUGGGUUGCUGUCAACAAACGAAGGGACCCUGAUUAUCAGAUAUUUAAAAGAUCUUCCACAGGCUCUACUACUCUCAUGAAACUUCAGAUGAUCAUACAGAUUUGAAGUGUCCCUAUUUCAUUAAAGGAUGGAAAUUUGCCAGCCUACCAGGAUUAAGUUUCCCAGUCCCAUAUCCACCAUUAUUGGAUAGGGUGAAUUUCAAGUCCAAUCAGAACUCAUUUUUUACUAUGCAAUGAUUCUGAUCCAAAUUUGUCGUCUUGAAGGACCAUUUUGUGGUAAAUAAAUGCACAAUUGACUGUUGAGCUA